ensembl:lncRNA
AUGCGAAGAUAUUACUGGAUACUCAGAGGGAGAGAAGCAAUACGGCGCCAUCAACAUUUCUGUGUCGAAUGCCAAAAGUGGAGAGCUAAACCUAAAAUUCCAAAAAUGGCAGAACUUCCCCCAGCCAGACUCCGCCUGAUGAAACCAGCUUUCUAUUCCACAGGGAUAGAUUGCUUUGGCCCAUUCCUAGUAAAGCGAGGAAGGAGUAAUGAAAAGAGGUGGGGAAUAAUUUUUAAGUGCAUGACCACCCGCUGUGUCCACUUGGAUUUACUGAGUAACAUGGAUACAGACUCCUUUCUGAUGGCCCUUAGGCGUAUGGUUGCUCGUCGUGGAACGCCUUUUGAAAUCUUGGCAGAUCAGGGCACCAACUUUCGAGGAGGUGAUAAGGAGCUACAGAUAGCUUUCGCUUCCAUGAGCCCACACCUCCAAAACCAGUUAGCAAAACAGAAGAUCCAGUUUCAUUACAAUCCCCCAAAUGCCCCACAUUUUGGAGGUAUGUGGGAGCGUGAAAUCCGCUCAGUUAAAACUACCAUGCGUACCAUCAUCGGGUCCCAGACUCUCACAGAGGAAGUCCUCAGAACACUCCUUAUAGAAGUGGAGACUAUACUCAAUGCAAAGCCAUUGGGUUAUGUUUCUUCUGAUGUAGCUGAUCCAGAUCCAGUGACCCCAAAUUACCUGUUGAUGGGGCGGCCAGAUGCAUCACUACCACAAGUGAUUUACCCAGAAUCCGAAAUUCUUAGUCGGAAAAGAUGGCGGCAAUCACAAGUACUGGCAGAUCAGUUUUGGACAAGUUUUAUAAAGAAUUACUUGCCCACCCUGCAGCCACGGCAAAAAUGGAUGAGAGACUCCAACAACCUCACACCUGGGACUGUUGUGAUGAUAAUUGACUACCAGCUUCCCCGAGCUCUUUGGCCUGUCGGCAAAGUAGUAACCAUAUACCCUGGAUCAGAUGGCAAUGUCCGUUCUGCAGAAAUUGAGGUAAAGAACAAGCACUACCAUCGACCAGUGUCUCGUCUCAUCACACUGCCCGCCAUCCAAAAUAAUGACCCUGCAACAGACUAA